AUGGGUAACCUACCCCGGGGACGUGGAUAGCCUUCCUAACGGAAGGGUAAUACACGGCGAUCUGGUCGGGAGACAUCUCCUGUCCAGGAAAUGAAUUUCGCCUCGGGAGGGGCUCAUGUCGUAUUAGCUUGUUGGUGAGGUAACGGCUCACCAAGGCAAAGAUGCGUAGCGGGUGUGAGAGCACGACCCGCGCCACUGGCACUGAGACACUGGCCAGACUCCUACGGGAGGCUGCAGUCGAGGAUCUUUGGCAAUGGGCGCAAGCCUGACCAAGCGACGCCGCGUGUGCGAUGAAGGCCUUCGGGUUGUAAAGCACUGUCGAGGGGGAGUAAGCCCGCAAGGGUUGAACUAUCCCUGGAGGAAGCACGGGCUAAGUUCGUGCCAGCAGCCGCGGUAAGACGAACCGUGCGAACGUUGUUCGGAAUCACUGGGCUUAAAGGGCGCGUAGGCGGGUGUGCAAGUCUGUGGUGAAAGCCUCCAGCUUAACUGGAGAAGUGCCAUGGAUACUGCACAUCUU
rnacentral:rRNA from 1 species